rnacentral:lncRNA from 1 species
CAGUGACAGAGCCAGAAUUUGAACUCAGGCCUGCCUGACUCCAGAGUCUUGGUAAUAACUAUGUUGUAUACCAAUUGACUUAAACUGGAUUCUCCCUUAUUUUCUUGCAUUGGCAGAGAUCUUCACAAGCAGGAGCGUAGUCGUCACAGUUUAUCGGUUCUGACUCAGCUCUACCACUGAUUUGGUUCUUAACCAUGGCAUGUUGCUCUGGGCCUCAGUUUAUUGAUUUUUUUUUUUUUUUUUUUUGUAAGAGGGCAACAUCCACAUCAUCACUACGCUCAAAUGAAAUAACGGAAGUGAAAACUCCUCAAUUAUGGAGCUGGCACUGAUUGGAAGAAAUUGCCAUGAUUCCAGUACUUUAGCUUGGAAAUUUUGUGAUUCAAAAAAGAAAAGAAGGGAGAGUCCUCACAGCAUUACUGAUAAAUGAUCUGAAGGAUACUUAUGAGAGGCACCUUUCCAAGCUGCCUGCAAAUCCGUCUACUUCACCCAGAGCAGGCCCAAGCUAUGGCUGCUUUGAGCACAGUCACCAGGGACGCUACUCUGCCAGCCUGUUCUCAUCCCUGCCCCCUCUCUCGCUGGCAGCUGCAUCUGCAGAGUACCCGCAGGGCACUGUGCCAACAGGCACGUUUCAUCCUACCAGGUCCAGUCUGCCAGCCUGACUGGUUUUCCUUCCUCAGAGGCCUGGGCCCAGGUUGUCUUGUAUGCCUGGGAUAACCUCCCUCUAUGCACCUAAGUUUACCCUACCCUCUUAAGCCAUAGCUCAAACAAACAACUUCUUUUCCAAAAGAGAAGCUUCCUCCAAUAGGGGCCAAUUGUUCCUCAUGCCUCCAAAGCACCCUCAACCCGCUGCUUCCUUAAGGCACCUCUGUAAUCACUCUGCUUAUCUGGAUGCGGCCAGGCUGAGGGAAGUGGCUGCACCGAUUAUUGCAACACCUGGAGGACAAGGAUUCUGAGUCAUCGUGACCCUCAGCUAGAGCAUGUACUACACUGUCUGCUUAGUAAAUACUCCCCAAAGGACCAAGUCAAAAACAACAGAGAAGUUCUACUGCUCUACCGAAAGUGAACACCAUAUAUUAGCAGCACUUGGGAACUGAGAGCGUCCCUGAAGAUCAUCUAGCCCAGCCCACUCAUCCUGAUGAAUCCUGCCUUACAGAUAAAUUGGUGGCACACUAGGUCCAGUUUCCAGUUCCUGCUGCAGUGACUCAUCCACGACCCCUGCUGCCUGCAAUCAAGUUGCCAGGCUGAACAUAACCUGCCUUUGCUUCUUG